rnacentral:rRNA from 1 species
UACCUGAGUACAGUGGCGCACGGGUGAGUAACACGUGAAUAAUCUACCUCCGAGUGGGGAAUAACUGAGAGAAAUCUUAGCUAAUACCGCAUAACACUUACGAGUCAAAGCAGCAAUGCGCUUGGAGAGGAGUUCGCGGCCGAUUAGUUAGUUGGCGGGGUAAUGGCCCACCAAGACGAUGAUCGGUAUCCGGCCUGAGAGGGCGCACGGACACACUGGAACUGAAACACGGUCCAGACUCCUACGGGAGGCAGCAGUGGGGAAUUUUGCGCAAUGGGGGAAACCCUGACGCAGCAACGCCGCGUGGAGGAUGAAAUAUCUUGGUAUGUAAACUCCUUUCGAUGGGGAAGAUUAUGACGGUACCCAUAGAAGAAGCCCCGGCUAACUUCGUGCCAGCAGCCGCGGUAAUACGAGGGGGGCAAGCGUUGUUCGGAUUUAUUGGGCGUAAAGGGUGCGUAGGCGGUUUGGCAAGUCUGAUGUGAAAUCUAUGGGCUCAACCCAUAGUCUGCAUCAGAAACUGCCGGGCUUGAGUAUGGGAGAGGUGAGUGGAAUUUCCGGUGUAGCGGUGAAAUGCGUAGAUAUCGGAAGGAACACCUGUGGCGAAAGCGGCUCACUGGACCAUAACUGACGCUGAUGCACGAAAGCUAGGGGAGCAAACAGGAUUAGAUACCCUGGUAGUCCUAGCC